GUAGAACUAUCACCUUGUUUGCGAUUUUUUGGGGAAAGAGCGUAUCAUAAAGUUGUAGGCAGGCAAAUGGAUGUUGGCUUAUCGCAAUGAAGCUUUAGUAUAAUCCUUUCUGCAAGCAGUAGAUAACGUGCGCCUACUAAAGAAGAGAUGCGGGAAAUAAUUAUAAAUUUUUACUAAAAUUUGAAUAUCCCUUGAAACAUUGAAUGCAUGGGUAGCACGCACGUUAAAUUAUAGGUCCCAAAAGCAAUAAACACUUGUAUUACAACAGAAUAGACUACUUUAGUAUUAAUGUUUUUCUAGUAACUUAGUUAAAUUUUUUCUGUGCAUACGUUUGUUAAUAAAAGUUUAUCUGAAUAUAUGUGAUGACAAAAUGAAAAUAAGGUACAUACCUUAUGUUGAUGCUACACACCCUGGAGCCUGCCACGAUUUAUUAAUUUGGAAUAUAGGCAGUUACGAAACAAGAAGCCCAAGAAAUGUGACGCUGGGUAUCCAUUCGAGCCUUGGCUGCUAACAACCUACCUAUCCGCGACAAAAGGAUCUUCAGAAAGUAAAUUUAAGCGUAUGAGAACUUUUACUGGAGAUUCAUUAUAAAUUUAGAAAGUUUAAAAUAUAGUAAAUUUAGUUCAUCAAUUACAUAAAGAGAAAAAUUAAGAACAGAGAAACUGUGUAUAGAAGAAACUCUUUUUUCCUGAUACAAAAGGCGAACUAUGAUGCUCACGGUACAUUCUAUUUGAAAAAUCCUCAUCAGAAAUUAAAUCCUUAGAGGUAGUACUGUGUGUCAAAAUGCCAUCUACUUUCCGCUCUACCUGCGUACAUUUGGUACAACCAUACCAAGAGGAAUGAGACGGUGUUCCACUAAUAUAAGCUCGUGCGGGAGUAUCGCAAACUAUAUAUCCAACAACAGGAAAAACUGGCCUAAAUUGAAUAUUAUUUAGGCGAAUUAAAAUUGAACUUUUAAAAAGCGAGAAUGUUAAUAAAUAGAGAAGCAGCAAAUGUUAGCUGUACUUAAAUGUUAAUUAAGAUGAGGGAACAUCGAAAACGCGCAAGUACGAAAAUAAAAUUUUACCAUCCUAUCAAUUUACGCAACGAACUACACCACUCUAUAAGCAAAAUGUAUACACAUACAUAUGCACAGAUGUUCUUUGGUAUGCACAUGAACAAAAAUUAAAGUAAUAAAAAGGGAAAUAAUUAACUUAUGAAAAGAAAAUGUAAAUAAUGAGGGAAAUAAUAUGAAAAUAUAAUUAAAAUAUCAUUUAAUAAAAAAGGGUUAUAAAAAUAA